rnacentral:lncRNA from 1 species
GGAAGCUCUUUGAUAUGGAGAGGAAUAGAAAAACCAGGAAUAUUUACUGUUUCAUAACUUGAUCCUAAGAACUGAGUUGAUGCAGCUUCAUCAAGGUUUGGAAUAGUGAGAAAUAAAGAGAAUAAAACAGCUCCUGAGGAAAAGAAAAGGUAUGAUAAAAGGUUGAAAUGUUUCGCAACAUCAUGUGCAUCGGUUGAAAACAUGCUGAAAACUAAAGCAACUAGGCGAGUUUUUGAAAGGAGUGAUUUUACUUCUUCAUAAAGAAAUGGAAUAGAGUGUUUCACUAUGAGUUUCAUCUGUGUUGCAGGAUCAAGAUUAUGUGGAAGGUCUUCAAUGUUGACUUGGGGAAGAACAAUGAAGUUCAUGUUUGGUGGAAGAGUGUUCAAGAUGGAUUGCAUGGAAGGAGUUAGUGGACCAAGUGUGGGAAUGAGGAAUGUGAUAUGGUAUUCAUUGUGAUU